UGUAGUCGACCAAUCAAAUCACAGAAUGGGGUGGUCGGCACUUUUAGGCGGGUUUGUCGUUAGUGCCAGUGUAACUUGGAGUUUUUAGUAAAAUAUGUUAUAACUAAACUGCUUUAAUUAAAGUUCAACAUGACGACAGACCAACAUCCAAUCUAUAGCGGCACAGAAAUAGAAGGAGGCGUUUGGACCCUUAAUGAGAAGCUAGCUGCUAGCUAACCGUCAUGGUUAGCAUGAUGACAGACAGAACGCCGGCCUUCUCCCACAGCGGGAGGUGCUCUUUCCUGCGUUUUACUUUCUGCCUUUCGCCCAAAUUCGGGUGUGACCCCACAGAACGCUGAUGAGACAUCUUACUGUGGCCAGAGAACAUCUAAAGACCAGGAAUACAGUUACAGCAGGGAUUCUGUUUGUUAAACAUCCAGAACCGGUCCGAGCAUGACGCCAUCAGCUGCUACAGUGAAGCUACGUCUGGACAGAGUGGAUGCACGGUCAGAGCUAAAGGGCCGCGCUGAUAUGAUGGGAUGGAGGAAGGAAAGGAGGCCAUCCAGGCCGGUGGAGCGCUGCGGGCGGAGACGGACGGACGGACGGGCGCGCGCGCCAGGUUUGCUCGGGGCGGUGGGGACCGUUCGGCCACCAGCUAAGCCUCACGCACGAGCAGCCGCAGCGGGGCUCACGUCCCGCACAAGCGCGCUGUUCGCAUUGUUUCCCAGUCAGGAGAGGAGGCCGUUAGGACGGGGUCAGCGCCUGCACAGUGGCACGUGCCCAGAGCACGAGGGGCGGAAGCAAAAGCCUGAUGACUUUGCAGCCACGAGGAACGGUGCGUUUCCACGGCACGUCGAGAUAAUCGAUUUGUGCUGUGCGUGCGUGCGCGCGCGCGCGCGCGUGCGUGAAGUCCGGCUUUUCCGCCUCCGUAUGUGGCACCAACCGGCCAGACCUGUCUGUCAGACUCACGCGCUCUGACAGGGGCGCGCGUCACUGAAAGCCGCUGGUUCACAUCAUAUUAAUUCCCCUAAAAAUGUUUUGAUUCAAAGUAGUUUGUAUUUUAUGUUGCCAAGGGCAAUCGAAAAGAGCUAUUGCCGGUAGUGCAGUCAGUGGAGCGCGCGGGCCCAGAGGCGAUAACGGUAUUUAAGCAACGGAGAGUAGCCUCGGGCUGCGGCGCGAGCGGCGGGCGGGAUCACACGCGGAAUCAAGCGCCUUUUACGAGUUUGCCACGAAAAUUAAAGAAAAAGAGACACGGGCCAAAUGUCAUUCUCCUCGUAUUUUAACAACAAUGUUUAUAGCUCCUAAAAAGAGAGCGCGCGCCGAUGUCUUGACAGAAAAGGGAGGUGCGCGCGCACAGGCGGCAGUGGCGAGGGCGCGCGUCUGACAGAUCAGCUUGAUGCAGCAGGCUGCUGUUGGAGCUGAACUGGGAAGCGGAUAGUGGGUGAUUAAAAACACAGACGACUCCUCCUAAGUAGGAUCCGCGUUUCUUCAGUGAUUUUCUUUUGAAAAAGGUUAUGUGAAUAUUCAUGCCGCCAAAGCCGCAGUCAGAAAGAACAACAUUAAUAUGAUCUCGGCUGAAUCCGGGGCCCCGCUCGGCAUUAGCAUAUCAAAGCGUCCGCCCGAGGCGAGAGAAGCUAUCGAUACGGGAGCGGGAGGUAAAGCAAAGAUUAUUGGUUGUGAUGGUUGCAGCGGCUGAGCUCAGGGCAAAAUACGGCGCACCAUUAACCGAAAGUGAUAGCGAAGGGAUUCCCGCGUCAAUCCGAGAGAAGAAGCCCAACACCUAGGCAGAGCUGAUGAAAAAUUAAACCCGAGACACAGCCUUCCUCUGUGUGGACAAACCGGAGCGCCGGCUGUAAAAAGUGAAAAGAAAAAAAAAUACAGGCGCGAGCUUUGAUGGAGCAAAAGCAGAUCCACAGCCUGCUCUGAGGAAAUUGGCGCAGCCUGAUGUGUGCAGAUGCAGACGCAGGCUUCACCUGAGCCGGAUUUAGCUCGAGCACCUGCUAACAGACCCUGGGAUUAAUUCUAACGUCUGACUGGAAGAUAAACACGCAACAAAACACCACGUAUCAACAAAAGCGUAAAAGAAAAUAACAUCCAUUUCCCGAGAACAAUUCUUCUUAUUUAAAGGAAUUAUAACACUUUUUAGUCCUACUUGUAAUAUUGUAUAUAAUCAAAUAAAAACUAUUACAUCUAUUACAAACCUUAGUCCUAUAAUUUAAUUUUAAUAGACUGGUUAAUUUAAUUAUAGGACUUUCACCGUUCAACAGAAGAGGUCAACGUUUUCUAAAGGCUGCUAAAAUAUAUGUCAAAGCAUAAAUAAUUCAGGGUUGGGUUUUAAAAUAAACUCUAUCUUUUAAUAAUAUUAUUUUAAGAUUCCGUGUUUAUUUUAUCAUUUGUAUAAAGGCAAGUUUGACAUUUCAUUACAUCAGUGUCUGUCUUAUGUGCACCGCGUAGGAAAACGCUGCCUUAUUAAUUCCUGGCAGUUUCUAUUUUACUGCCAAACUCCAUAACAAAGCAGGUGCUGAGUGACGGUGGAAACGGGGAGAACCGUGUUGGUGUUUAAACAGGCGAGGAGGCGCGUUGACAGCAGACAACAGAGCCGCGUUGCGCCUGUUUGUCUGUUUGUCUGCGCCCUGUCCUGUCGCGUGCUGCCGUGCGGCGCGUUCACGGCCUCCGGUGCGGCGUGCGUGAGAAGAAACGGGGCCUUACCUCUGCGGAUGACGCCCCCUUGGCCGUUGAGCACGAGCCCACACUGCGCCUCCACGGAGCCCUGCGGAGACAAGCACUCAUUAGGACGAGCGGGGAGGUGAAGGCGUGUUUUCUCUGCGCCCCGCUGGAGCACGGUUUGCUCCGCUGUCAGGACGCACACGCACCGCAAAUUAAUACGUUCACUCUCUUUUUUCUUUUUGUGGGAGAUAAGAUCACCGAGUAGAGGUUUUACGCACUUUUCUAUUCAACAGCACGCACAGGAAAGGCAUUAUUCUCUAAUAAUUAGACGGUAGAAAUCUAAUUCUAACAUGUGGAAACCGCUACACGCUGAGCGGUUCCCAGUUUAAAAGCACCUCUUUGUCAACGUUUUCCACAGGCUUGAUUUAGUCAUUUGAUAGACCUGCAGUUGGUUCUGGCUGAGAAAACUGCACAUUCCGCCCAAACGUACGACGGACGUACUGUUAGAGUAUCUCCGGCGUGCACGGGGCCACGGCACCUUCAUUGAUGCACGUUGAGAGAUUUGGCCCCAAAGCCACAGUGUUGUAGUGGU